rnacentral:snoRNA from 1 species
GAUAUUAGUCCUUAUCUCUGUUUAAUUGUGGACAAAGAUUUACAGACAGGCGCAAAAACUAAAUCCUCCUUCACAGCCCAGAGCCCAUUGCUCAGUAUCAGUUGUGAUACAUAUAAGGAACAUG